GUGUCAGCAGCCGCGGUAAAACGUAGGAGGCGAGCGUUAUCCGGAUUUACUGGGCGUAAAGCGCGCGCAGGUGGUUUCGUGAGUCGGACAUGAAAGCUCCCGGCUUAACUGGGAGAGGCUGUUCGAUACUGCGGGACUUGAGGUUGGGAGAGGGGUGUGGAAUUCCCGGUGUAGUGGUGGAAUGCGUAGAUAUCGGGAGGAACACCUGUGGCGAAAGCGGCACCCUGGCCCACACCUGACACUGAGGUGCGAAAGCGUGGGGAGCAAACAGGAUUAGAUACCCGUGUAGUCC
rnacentral:rRNA from 1 species